CUACGGGGCGCUGCAGUGGGGAAUAUUGGACAAUGGGGGAAACCCUGAUCCAGCAAUGCCGCGUGAGCGAUGAAGGCCUUAGGGUUGUAAAGCUCUUUUACCCGAGAUGAUAAUGACAGUAUCGGGAGAAUAAGCCCCGGCUAACUCCGUGCCAGCAGCCGCGGUAAUACGGAGGGGGCUAGCGUUGUUCGGAAUUACUGGGCGUAAAGCGCACGUAGGCGGCGAUCUAAGUCAGAGGUGAAAGCCUGGAGCUCAACUCCAGAACUGCCUUUGAGACUGGAUUGCUAGAAUCUGGGAGAGGUGAGUGGAAUUCCGAGUGUAGAGGUGAAAUUCGUAGAUAUUCGGAAGAACACCAGUGGCGAAGGCGGCUCACUGGACCAGUAUUGACGCUGAGGUGCGAAAGCGUGGGGAGCAAACAGGAUUAGAUACCCCGGUAGUC
rnacentral:rRNA from 1 species